CAGUAGCCGCGGGAAUGCGAAGGGGGCUAGCGUUGUUCGGAUUUACUGGGCGUAAAGGGUGCGUAGGCGGAUUGUUAAGUCAGGGGUGAAAUCCCGAGGCUCAACCUCGGAACUGCCUUUGAUACUGGCGAUCUUGAGUCCGGGAGAGGUGAGUGGAACUGCGAGUGUAGAGGUGAAAUUCGUAGAUAUUCGCAAGAACACCGGUGGCGAAGGCGGCUCACCGGCCCGGUACUGACGCUGAGGCACGAAAGCGUGGGGAGCAAACAGGAUUAGAUACCCCGGUAGUCCCUGUCUCUUAUAC
rnacentral:rRNA from 1 species